AUAUUAUCAAAUGAAAUGAGCCAAACAGAGAGGUGGGCAGUCUUUGACAGGAGCCUUACAUUAUGAGAUGGGCAUUUUGAUGUUCUGGUCUGCAGACAUGGGGAAUAUUCUGCUGAGAUGAUAAACCAGGAGAGAGGAGAGCAGAGACGAGAGAAGAGCAAAAGCUGGACACAAAGAAAACAGCAGCGUCCAGCACAGAGCACCGUCCUGUGCAGUCACAGUAGAGAGUGAUGUUGGCACCUUGUCGGACUGUCACCUCCAACACAGAUCCAGAGAUCCACUGAUGACUGGAGGAAAUAAUUCCUGGAAGACAAAAACAUUUACAAAAACAGGGUGAAAUUUGGUCUAUGGAUUCACACUGGAAAAAAAAGGACCCUGGAAGUACAACAUGUUUUUUUCUACCCUUCAUAACGGAACACGACGGCAAAUUCAUCUUUUAAUAUUAACUUAAAACACCUAACCUUACCUAAGAGAACAACAAAAACGAGCUGCUCAUCCAUGAGUGACAAUGAUCAGAAAAUGAAAAACUGAUCAGUAGAUCUCAUUUCUGCAUCUUAUAUGUGCCAUAGACCAGGAAAUGCACAUGGUGAUUGGCUAUAACAUUUUCCUUUGUGGUUUAUUUUCUUUCAGUACUUAGUGACUUAGCCAAAAGAAAUGCAAUUGUUGCUCAUUGUCAUUGACUAUCAUCAGGUCAUCAAAUCGCUCCACUGGACCUGUAGAAAGAACUUUGCCUUAUGUUACAGGAGGACAAUUUUAUACUUUGUUCUGCAGACAUGAGGGUAUUGUGAUAAGAAGAAAAGAGCAGAAUCUUUGAGUGAACCUUAGAUUAGGAAGAUUUAGAUAUUAUUAUUACGUAGCCUAUUCACAGACUCACAAUUAUUACUUAUCAGCCCGUCAUCAUUACUGCCAUUACAGACCUGGUCCACUAAGGAAAACCUGAUGUAUUAUCUGCAAAUGUCUGCAUAUGAUUGGAAAAAUCUUUUAGAAUAAAACUUUUCUGUCAGAACCUGAGCUGUAAAUUAUUAUUAUUAACUUUAUUCAGUGAUUUGACCCUCUCACCCUACAUAAGAAUAUACCUUUGUCUGUACAUUUUAUAUUACAGAUAUUUCAUCCAUGUAUUUUUUUAUAAAUGUGAUUGACAAAAUGUGUUUGGACUUCAUGUGGUGUUCUGUUAGUUUAUUAUCUAUCUGUCCUCUAGUGGUCAGUAGAGUUACAGCCUGGGCUCUGCAAAGUU